rnacentral:rRNA from 1 species
UGCGUAGGCGGAAGAUUAAGUCAGUGAUGAAAUCCUGCAGCUCAACUGUAGAACUGUCAUUGAUACUGAUUUUCUUGAAUACAGUUGAGGUAGGCGGAAUAUGUAAUGUAGCGGUGAAAUGCUUAGAUAUUACAUAGAACACCAAUUGCGAAGGCAGCUUACUAAACUGUGAUUGACGCUGAGGCACGAAAGCGUGGGAGCGAACAGGAUUAGAUACCCUGGUAGUCC